GACGAACGCUGGCGGCGUGCUUAACACAUGCAAGUCGAACGGAAAGGCCCUGCUUUUGUGGGGUGCUCGAGUGGCGAACGGGUGAGUAACACGUGAGUAACCUGCCCUUGACUUUGGGAUAACUUCAGGAAACUGGGGCUAAUACCGGAUAGGAGCUCCUGCUGCAUGGUGGGGGUUGGAAAGUUUCGGCGGUUGGGGAUGGACUCGCGGCUUAUCAGCUUGUUGGUGGGGUAGUGGCUUACCAAGGCUUUGACGGGUAGCCGGCCUGAGAGGGUGACCGGCCACAUUGGGACUGAGAUACGGCCCAGACUCCUACGGGAGGCAGCAGUGGGGAAUAUUGCACAAUGGGCGGAAGCCUGAUGCAGCAACGCCGCGUGCGGGAUGACGGCCUUCGGGUUGUAAACCGCUUUCGCCUGUGACGAAGCGUGAGUGACGGUAAUGGGUAAAGAAGCACCGGCUAACUACGUGCCAGCAGCCGCGGUGAUACGUAGGGUGCGAGCGUUGUCCGGAUUUAUUGGGCGUAAAGGGCUCGUAGGUGGUUGAUCGCGUCGGAAGUGUAAUCUUGGGGCUUAACCCUGAGCGUGCUUUCGAUACGGGUUGACUUGAGGAACGUAGGGGAGAAUGGAAUUCCUGGUGGAGCGGUGGAAUGCGCAGAUAUCAGGAGGAACACCAGUGGCGAAGGCGGUUCUCUGGGCCUUUCCUGACGCUGAGGAGCGAAAGCGUGGGGAGCGAACAGGCUUAGAUACCCUGGUAGUCCACGCUGUAAACGGUGGGUACUAGGUGUGGGGUCCAUUCCACGGGUUCCGUGCCGUAGCUAACGCUUUAAGUACCCCGCCUGGGGAGUACGGCCGCAAGGCUAAAACUCAAAGGAAUUGACGGGGCCCCGCACAAGCGGCGGAGCAUGCGGAUUAAUUCGAUGCAACGCGUAGAACCUUACCUGGGUUUGACAUGGAUCGGGAGUGCUCAGAGAUGGGUGUGCCUCUUUUGGGGUCGGUUCACAGGUGGUGCAUGCCUGUCGUCAGCUCGUGUCGUGAGAUGUUGGGUUAAGUCCCGCAACGAGCGCAACCCUUGUUCACUGUUGCCAGCACGUUAUGGUGGGGACUCAGUGGAGACCGCCGGGGUCAACUCGGAGGAAGGUGGGGAUGACGUCAAGUCAUCAUGCCCCUUAUGUCCAGGGCUUCACGCAUGCUACAAUGGCUGGUACAGAGAGUGGCGAGCCUGUGAGGGUGAGCGAAUCUCGGAAAGCCGGUCUCAGUUCGGAUUGGGGUCUGCAACUCGACCUCAUGAAGUCGGAGUCGCUAGUAAUCGCAGAUCAGCAACGCUGCGGUGAAUACGUUCCCGGGGCU
rnacentral:rRNA from 1 species